rnacentral:tRNA from 1 species
GCGGGCGUAGUUCAGUGGUAGAACGUCAGCUUCCCAAGCUGAAUGUCGUGGGUUCGAUUCCCAUCGCCCGCU